AAAGGUAGAGCUAGCUAUGACAGAUUUCAAGACUAUAACGUCAUGGACGUGGUUUAAUUUUAGAUAAGAGUCUGAGAAACGCAUCCAAAUCAUGAGAAGAGAAAUAAUUCCAAGGCGACUGAAAUGUGAUACUACUGCUGAUUGCUGAGAAUGUAAUUAUUAUAAAGACUCAACAGUGAGUCUGCACUAAAAUGUGAUUUAGGUAUCUUUCCUUCUUCGUAAAACAAAAAGGAGUGUGAUAAAAACAAUUAAUUUUGCUAAGAUUCCUUGAGAAAUAUUCAAAUGAAGCUACAACAACGAGAAAGCAGAUAGCAACAGGACAAACCACAAGAGGAUUUUUUCGAGUUCUUAGACGCUUCGGGGUUGAAAGCAUAUGAAAACAACAAAGUUAGCAGGAUUUGGGAAAUCCAGCAAUGAUGAAGUCCGCAUAAAUCAGGGUUCCAUAAUACCGACAGCACCAGCUCUACCUAAAAUCGGCAAGGGAACAUUUUUUGUCUGAAAACUUCCCUGGUACAGAUAAAAGUGGGUUGGCUUCCACCGUGGAGAGAGACUAAGGAGGAUAUGGAGACCCUUCUGUUCUAAAGCACCAAAGAACACAAGCAACUUGAAAAAAAAAAAAGAAAACAAAACACCAAAAAGGUAAAAUCAUUUUUGAAAUUUGCCUGUCCAUUUAUUCACAAAAAUAAGAUAGAAACCUAUAUAUGAAGGCAGGAUCUCAAUAGUUGACUUUCUGGUUAUAAGUAAGGAAUUCUGAAAGAAAAAAGGUAAGGAAUUCUCUAGCUUUUAGUUGAAUAAACAAAAGCUGCUUUUUCAAAAAACCAUAUGUAUUCUGGUUCCUAAAAUUUUCCUAGAAAGUAAAGCCUUUGCUUUAUAUGACUUUAUAUGACUAUAAAGCCCACACAUCUUUUAUACAUUUGAUGUUUAUAUCCACUUUGAGUCCAAUGUACAUUAAAUUACUAUAAAUUAUGAAAAAUACUGUUGUUCAGAAAACAAAGUGCUACACAAAGAGGUAGAGAUCUUAAAAGCACUGAUUUCUUCAAUUUUCCCCUACGGGCACAGGAUUUUAUGAAGGGAUAUACUACUCUAUUAUAAUUAAAAAGUACUUCAUAAUUUUAGAGAAAAGCUUAGAUAUCCCCACAUUUGCAGAUUUCUAAUAUACAUAAUUUAUUAGUGAAAUUUAGAGCAUCUGCUACUUUGGGUAUCUAAACUGCUAUAGUCAAUAAUAAUGCUAUUUGCCAUCAUAAAUCAUGGAAUCGAAUCAUUUUAUAAUUUUAUAAUUUAACAGGUGGCAUUUCUGACAUAUAUGUGUGUGUGUGUGUGUGUGUGUGUACACACACACACACGC
rnacentral:lncRNA from 1 species